rnacentral:rRNA from 1 species
UACGUAGGGUGCAAGCGUUAAUCGGAAUUACUGGGCGUAAAGCGUACGCAGGCGGCUUUGCAAGACAGAUGUGAAAUCCCCGGGCUUAACCUGGGAACUGCAUUUGUGACUGCAUGGCUGGAGUGCGGCAGAGGGGGAUGGAAUUCCGCGUGUAGCAGUGAAAUGCGUAGAUAUGCGGAGGAACACCGAUGGCGAAGGCAAUCCCCUGGGCCUGCACUGACGCUCAUGCACGAAAGCGUGGGGAGCAAACAGG